AGCACAAUUGCUGGGUCAUAGGGUAAGUGUUUGUUUAGUUUUAUAAGAAACUGCCAAAUUGUGUUCCAAAGUGGCUGUACCAUUUUGCAUUCCCACUAACAAU
rnacentral:pre_miRNA from 1 species